AAAUGCGAUAAGUAAUGUGAAUUGCAGAAUUCAGUGAAUCAUCGAAUCUUUGAACGCACCUUGCGCUCCUUGGUAUUCCUUGGAGCAUGCCUGUUUGAGUAUCAUGAAAUCUUCAAAGUAAUCUUUUGUUAACUCAAUUGGUUUCUACUUUGGUAUUGGAGGUCUUUGCAGCUUCACACCUGCUCCUCUUUGUUCAUUAGCUGGAUCUCAGUGUUAUGCUUGGUUCCACUCGGCGUGAUAAGUUAUCUAUCGCUGAGGACACUGUAAAAGGUGGCCAAGGUAAAUGCAGAUGAACCGCUUCUAAUAGUCCAUUGACUUGGGCAAUACUUUUAUGAUCUGAUCUCAAAUCAGGUAGGACUACCCGCUGAACUUAAGC
rnacentral:misc_RNA from 1 species